GAUGAACGCUGGCGGCGUGCCUAAUACAUGCAAGUCGAGCGAACAGACGAGGAGCUUGCUCCUCUGACGUUAGCGGCGGACGGGUGAGUAACACGUGGAUAACCUACCUAUAAGACUGGGAUAACUUCGGGAAACCGGAGCUAAUACCGGAUAAUAUAUUGAACCGCAUGGUUCAAUAGUGAAAGACGGUUUUGCUGUCACUUCUAGAUGGAUCCGCGCCGCAUUAGCUAGUUGGUAAGGUAACGGCUUACCAAGGCGACGAUGCGUAGCCGACCUGAGAGGGUGAUCGGCCACACAGGAACUGAGACACGGUCCAGACUCCUACGGGAGGAAGCAGUAGGGAAUCUUACGCAAUGGGCGAAAGCCUGAAGGAGAAACGCCGCGUGAGUGAUGAAGGUCUUCGGAUCGUAAAACUCUGUUAUUAGGGAAGAACAAAUGUGUAAGUAACUAUGCACGUCUUGACGGUACCUAAUCAGAAAGCCACGGCUAACUACGUG
rnacentral:rRNA from 1 species